AAUGUAUAGUUAGUUCAUGUUACGGCCAUGAAAUAGUCACUUUUGUGUCAUACAUUU
rnacentral:tRNA from 1 species